AUUUAAAUAGCUUAAAUAAAUAAAGUUUAAUAUUGAAGAUAUUAAGAUAAUAUAAUAAAAUAUUUUUAAAUA
rnacentral:tRNA from 1 species